rnacentral:rRNA from 1 species
CGGCCGCGUCGACAACGCUGGCGGCGUGCCUAAUACAUGCAAGUAGAACGCUGAAGAGAGGAGCUUGCUCGUUCUUGGAUGAGUUGCGAACGGGUGAGUAACGCGUAGGUAACCUGCCUUGUAGCGGGGGAUAACUAUUGGAAACGAUAGCUAAUACCGCAUAACAAUGGAUGACACAUGUCAUUUAUUUGAAAGGGGCAAUUGCUCCACUACAAGAUGGACCUGCGUUGUAUUAGCUAGUAGGUGAGGUAACGGCUCACCUAGGCGACGAUACAUAGCCGACCUGAGAGGGUGAUCGGCCACACCUGGGACUGAGACACGGCCCAGACUCCUACGGGAGGUCAGCAGUAGGGAAUCUUCGGCAAUGGGGGCAACCCUGACCGAGCAACGCGCGUGAGUGAAGAAGGUUUUCGGAUCGUAAAGCUCUGUUGUAAGUCAAGAACGAGUGUGAGAGUGGAAAACUUCACACUGGUGACGGUAGCUUACCGAGAAAGGGUACGGCUAACUACGGUGCCUAGCAGCCGCGGUAAUUACCGGG